AACGAACGCUGGCGGCAUGCCUAACACAUGCAAGUCGAACGAGACCUUCGGGUCUAGUGGCGCACGGGUGCGUAACGCGUGGGAAUCUGCCCUUGGGUUCGGAAUAACAGUUGGAAACGACUGCUAAUACCGGAUGAUGACGUAAGUCCAAAGAUUUAUCGCCCAAGGAUGAGCCCGCGUAGGAUUAGCUAGUUGGUGAGGUAAAGGCUCACCAAGGCGACGAUCCUUAGCUGGUCUGAGAGGAUGAUCAGCCACACUGGGACUGAGACACGGCCCAGACUCCUACGGGAGGCAGCAGUGGGGAAUAUUGGACAAUGGGCGAAAGCCUGAUACAGCAAUGCCGCGUGAGUGAGGAAGGCCUUAGGGUUGUAAAGCUCUUUUACCCGGGAUGAUAAUGACAGUACCGGGAGAAUAAGCUCCGGCUAACUCCGUG
rnacentral:rRNA from 1 species